rnacentral:rRNA from 1 species
AUCGCAUGAUCGAAAUAUCAAAGCUUUUGCGGUAUAGGAUGGACCCGCGUCUGAUUAGCUAUUGGUAAGGUAAUGGCGUUACCAAGGCACGAUCAGUAGCCGACCUGAGAGGGUGAUCGGCCACAUUGGAACUGAGACACGGUCCAAACUCCUACGGGAGGCAGCAGUGGGGAAUNUUGCACAAUGGGCGAAAGCCUGAUGCAGCAACGCCGCGUGAGCGAUGAAGGCCUUCGGGUCGUAAAGCUCUGUCCUCAAGGAAGAUAAUGACGGUACUUGAGGAGGAAGCCCCGGCUAACUACGUG